UGCUCAGGUAUGAAAUAAUAGACUCACUGA
rnacentral:piRNA from 1 species